rnacentral:rRNA from 1 species
ACUCAAAUGAAUUGACGGGGGCCCGCACAAGCGGUGGAGUAUGUGGUUUAAUUCGACGCAACGCGCAGAACCUUACCUAGGCUUGACAUCUUGCGACGAACAUUAGAGAUAGUGUUUUUUCCUUCGGGAACGCAAAGACAGGUGCUGCAUGGCUGUCGUCAGCUCGUGUUGUGAAAUGUUGGGUUAAGUCCCGCAACGAGCGCAACCCUUGCCCUUAGUUGACAUCAUUAAGUUGGUCACUUUGAGGGGACUGCCGAUGUUAAAUCGGAGGAAGGCGGGGAUGACGUCAAGUCCUCAUGGCCCUUACGUCUAGGGCUACACACGUACUACAAUGGUGGAGACAAACCGUCGCGAAACUGCAAAGUGGAGCCAAUCGGAAAAACACCACCUUAGUCCGGAUUGAAGUCUGCAACUCGACUUCAUGAAGCUGGAAUCGCUAGUAAUCGCAGAUCAGCACGCUGCGGUGAAUACGUUCCCGGGCCUUGUACACACCGCCCGU